GGGUCAGUAGGUUGGUCGUGCCACCGGUACGUACUGGUCUCACUGAUUCCUCCUUCCUGAAGAACCGUAAUGCCAUUAAUUUGGUGUUGCGGGGAAACAAGACUGUUACUUUGAAAAAAUUAGAGUGUUUAAAGCAAGCUAACGCUUGAAUACAUUAGCGUGGAAUAAUGAAAUAGGACGAUCGAUCCUAUUUUGUUGGUUUCUAGGAUUGACGUA
rnacentral:rRNA from 1 species